rnacentral:rRNA from 1 species
UACAGAGGGGGCAAGCGUUGUUCGGAAUUACUGGGCGUAAAGUGUGCGCAGGCGGCCGCGCAAGUCGAGUGUGAAAGCCCCGGGCUUAACUUGGGAAUUGCGCUCGAAACUACGUGGCUAGAGUGUGGCAGAGGGAGGUGGAAUUCCACGUGUAGCGGUGAAAUGCGCAGAUAUCAGGAGGAACACCAAUGGCGAAGGCAGCUCGCUGGAACGGUACUGACGCUGAGGCGCGAAAGCGUGGGAGCAAACAGG